CUGGCUCAGGAUGAACGCUGGCGGCGUGCUUAACACAUGCAAGUCGAACGAAGCAGUUUAUUACGAUCCCUUCGGGGUGACGAUUUACUGACUGAGUGGCGGACGGGUGAGUAACGCGUGGGUAACCUGCCUUGUACAGGGGGACAACAGUUGGAAACGACUGCUAAUACCGCAUAAGCGCACGAUGUCGCAUGACAAAGUGUGAAAAGAUUUAUCGGUACAAGAUGGACCCGCGUCUGAUUAGCUAGUUGGUGAGGUAACGGCCCA
rnacentral:rRNA from 1 species